GCCGCCUUAUAUCAGUCGUUAGAUGAGCUCUUUCCGGUUAAUUUGCCGUGCCUGGAGCGGGUCGUCGGUUCAAAUCCGACAGGCGGCU